AGUGGAAUAGCUGGGUCAAAUGGUGACUCCAUUCCAAGUUUUCUGAGUAAUCUCCAUACUGUUUUCCAUAGUGGUUGCACCAAUUUGCCAUCCCACCAGCAAU
rnacentral:pre_miRNA from 1 species